GCGCGGGCCGGCCCGGCCGCCUGCCUCCUCCUCCUCCUCCCCCGGGCCCGGAUGAGAUCACCGCGGCGGGCGGCCGGCUGUCCCCGCGCUCCCAACAAAUCGACUCCUCGGCGAGCGCCGGCAUCUCAUGAUCUCAUGGCCCCGCGGGACGGCGCCGGCCGAUGAGGGUCAGCCAUCAGCCGCGGAGGGGCCAAUGAGACUCUCAGAAACCUUCACAACUAACUUGCCAGCAGCAGGUUCAACAUCACGCACUGCUCACUAACAGCUGCUCAGCAGAUCUCAGCAACCUGCAUUGCCAUGGCUGACAGGGAGGAGGGCGAAUGACACUGCCCCCGCGCCGAGCCAGACACCGAGUCGGAGCUUAUUACCAAGGGCAGAGCUGUUGGAGGGUACUUUCCAGCUCCAUUUUGCAGAUGAGAAAACUGAAUUUACUUGAACCAAACUCGGAUGCCAAAGAAGUACAAGUCUCACUUUCAAUGCCAUUUGUGCAGAGGAAGCCCUUCUCGUUUCCCUAAAUGAGUCUCCCAUGAAUUAUUUUCUGCCUAGUGCUUAUCACAAUUUGAAGUUUUGCA